rnacentral:tRNA from 1 species
GGAGAGGUACCGAAGAGGUCGUACCGGGCUCGACUCGAAAUCGAGUUACCCCCCAAAAGGGGGUACGUGGGUUCGAAUCCCACCCUCUCCGCCA